rnacentral:rRNA from 1 species
UGCCAGCAGCCGCGGUAAUACGGAAGGUGCAAGCGUUGUUCGGAGUGACUGGGCGUAAAGAGCACGUAGGCGGGCUCGCAAGUCGAAUGUGAAAGCCCCGGGCUUAACCCGGGAACUGCAUUCGAAACUGUGAGUCUUGAAUGCCUGAGGGGUUAGUGGAAUUCCUGGAGUAGGAGUGAAAUCCGUAGAUAUCAGGAGGAACACCAGAGGCGAAGGCGGCUAACUGGCAGUGCAUUGACGCUGAGGUGCGAAAGCGUGGGUAGCAAACAGGAUUAGAUA